AUUGAACGCUGGCGGCAUGCCUUACACAUGCAAGUCGAACGGCAGCACGGGUGCUUGCACCUGGUGGCGAGUGGCGAACGGGUGAGUAAUACAUCGGAACAUGUCCUGUAGUGGGGGAUAGCCCGGCGAAAGCCGGAUUAAUACCGCAUACGAACUACGGAUGAAAGCGGGGGACCUUCGGGCCUCGCGCUAUAGGGUUGGCCGAUGGCUGAUUAGCUAGUUGGUGGGGUAAAGGCCUACCAAGGCGACGAUCAGUAGCCGGUCUGAGAGGACGACCAGCCACACUGGGACUGAGACACGGCCCAGACUCCUACGGGAGGCAGCAGUGGGGAAUUUUGGACAAUGGGCGAAAGCCUGAUCCAGCAAUGCCGCGUGUGUGAAGAAGGCCUUCGGGUUGUAAAGCACUUUUGUCCGGAAAGAAAUCCUUGGCCCUAAUACGGUCGGGGGAUGACGGUACCGGAAGAAUAAGCACCGGCUAACUACGUG
rnacentral:rRNA from 1 species